UUCCUCUUAUCGGCCAGCUUGUGUAGAGAGAGUAAAGGCAGUAAGUCCAAACUGCAGAUAGAGAGAAAAACAUCUUCAUCCAAGUAGAGAGUGAAGAGUGUUUUACUACAUGUUGAGUGUGUAGUUGUGGUUAGGUAGCAAAACAAGUGUGAGAGAGAGUUUCCUUCAAGUAGUUGUUCUUGAAGUUGUGUAUCUCUUGUACCCACAUUAUCAUAGUGGAAGUUCUUGUUGUUGCUGCUCCGUGGACGUAGGCAUCUUGCUGAACCACGUUAUAUCUGGUCAAUUGCUGAUUGGAUUGGCUUUAUUUGUUGACAACAAAUUGCCAAUUAGUGUGGACACUGAUUUACUCAUUGGCUGUUAUGAUUCUUUGUCAAUUAGGAUGGUCUAUAUUAGAUACCCUGUCAGAUUCUCAUGAACUUGACAUAUCUCAGUGUUAGAGGUCUUUAUGAGUCUACCCCAUUUCAGAUGUGGCCAACAUUCCAAUGGCUAGAAUCAUCUAGAUUUGUCUUUGUUCUUUUGCUUUAG
rnacentral:lncRNA from 1 species